UCUGUCUCUCAGCUGUUAUCUUCUCCCCAAGCAGGUGGGCAUCAUUUUGGAGGCGCCUCUCUGCUGCCCGGACCUUCAUGCCUGCAGGAGUUCUCCAUUAGCAUCCAAAAUGCUAACAGUCCACUCUUAGAGUCAGUACUUCAAGCAGAGCUGCAUGAAGGAUGCCCACUUCUGUACAUGAAAGCACAACCACUCCAGGUGGGCAGAUGCAAAAUGCCAGCACACUGACCUCUGCCAGGCAGCAAACACUUAAAGCAGAACACAAACUACUCAAGAACCUGGAAUUCUACGCAUUGGCUCUCCUGUGUUUCCCUAGCGCCUAGAACAGCCUCUGCACUUGUAAAUCAAUCAAUAUUAGGAGGAUCUGCUGACGCCAGUAGUUCAAGCCAACUCUGUGGACUCCUGUAGAGUGGAAAUGGAUGGGGAAGCUUGACAGGAAGGAUUCGCUAUCUACUGCUAUGAAGACUAUCUUUAUUAGGGGACACUGAGGUGUAUAAUGGAGAAGGAAAUGGCAACCCACUCCAGUGUUCUUGCUUGGAGAAUCCCAGGGACGGGGGAGCCUGGUGG